rnacentral:rRNA from 1 species
CUACGGGACGCAGCAGUAGGGAAUAUUGCCCAAUGGACGAAAGUCUGAGGCAGCAACGCCGCGUGCGCGAUGAAGGCCUCCGGGUUGUAAAGCGCUUUUACGAGGGAAGAGAAAGGACGGUACCUCGUGUAUAAGGAUCGGCUAACUACGUGCCAGCAGCCGCGGUAACACGUAGGAUUCGAACGUUAUCCGGAUUUACUGUGCGUAAAGCGCGUGCAGGCGGUUUGGUAAGUUGGAUGUGAAAGCUCCAGGCUCAACCUGGAGAGGUCGUUCAAUACUGCCAGACUAGAGGACGGUAGAGGGAGGUGGAAUUCCGGGUGUAGGGGUGAAAUGCGUAGAUAUCCGGAGGGACACCAGUGGCGAAGGCGGCCUCCUGGGCCGUUCCUGACGCUCAGACGCGAAAGCUAGGGUAGCGAACGGGAUUAGAUACCCUCGUAGUC